AUUGAACGCUGGCGGCAUGCCUUACACAUGCAAGUCGAACGGUAACGGGCCUUCGGGUGCCGACGAGUGGCGCACGGGUGAGUAAUACAUCUGAACGUGCCCGAUCGUGGGGGAUAACGAGGCGAAAGCUUUGCUAAUACCGCAUACGAUCUACGGAUGAAAGCAGGGGACCGCAAGGCCUUGCGCGGACGGAGCGGCCGAUGGCAGAUUAGGUAGUUGGUGGGAUAAAAGCUUACCAAGCCGACGAUCUGUAGCUGGUCUGAGAGGAUGAUCAGCCACACUGGGACUGAGACACGGCCCAGACUCCUACGGGAGGCAGCAGUGGGGAAUUUUGGACAAUGGGCGCAAGCCUGAUCCAGCCAUGCCGCGUGCAGGAUGAAGGCCUUCGGGUUGUAAACUGCUUUUGUACGGAACGAAAAGCCUUCUUUUAAUACAGGAGGGUCAUGACGGUACCGGAAGAAUAAGCACCGGCUAACUACGUG
rnacentral:rRNA from 1 species